UUGAUUUUAAUUAUUUGUGAAGGUACUACUAAUUAACAACAAUUCUACAAUCAAAACAAAAAAAAUCAAAACUUUUAACAAUGGAUCUCUUGGUUCUCGUAUCGAUGAAGAACGCAGCGAAACGCGAUAUUUCUUGUGAAUUGCAGAAGUGAAUCAUCAGUUUUUGAACGCACAUUGCACUUUGGGGUAUCCCCCAAAGUAUACUUGUUUGAGCGUUGUUUCUCUCUUGGAAUUGCAUUGCUUUUCUAAAAAACCGAAUCAAAUUCGUUUGAAACAACAUUUUUUCAACCUCAGAUCAAGUAGGAAUACCCGCUGAACUUAAGCAUAUCAAUAAGCGGAGGAAUCGCCAACUUGGUCAUUUAGAGGAAGUAAAGUCGUAACAAGGUCUCCGUUGGUGAACCAGCGGAGGGAUCAUUACCGAGUUGCAAAACUCCCAAACCCCAAUGUUUAUCUAUCUCGAAAACGUCUGCUUCGGCGGGCGGCCCCAGGGCGGGGCCGCAGCCUAGCGCUUCGGCGCCGGGCGCCCGCCGGAGAGGACAACCCAAAACUCUUGUUUUCUAUGAAACUCUGAGCAUAAAAGACAAAUAGUCA
rnacentral:misc_RNA from 1 species